rnacentral:rRNA from 1 species
ACGUACACUCCUGCGGGAGGCAGCAGUGGGGAAUAUUGGACAAUGGGCGCAAGCCUGAUCCAGCCAUGCCGCGUGAGUGAUGAAGGCCCUAGGGUUGUAAAGCUCUUUCACCGGUGAAGAUAAUGACGGUAACCGGAGAAGAAGCCCCGGCUAACUUCGUGCCAGCAGCCGCGGUAAUACGAAGGGGGCUAGCGUUGUUCGGAUUUACUGGGCGUAAAGCGCACGUAGGCGGACUAUUAAGUCAGGGGUGAAAUCCCGGGGCUCAACCCCGGAACUGCCUUUGAUACUGGUAGUCUUGAGUUCGAGAGAGGUGAGUGGAAUUCCGAGUGUAGAGGUGAAAUUCGUAGAUAUUCGGAGGAACACCAGUGGCGAAGGCGGCUCACUGGCUCGAUACUGACGCUGAGGUGCGAAAGCGUGGGGAGCAAACAGGAUGAGAUACCCCAGUAGUCCCA